rnacentral:pre_miRNA from 1 species
CAAAUACUCCCUCUGGCCGGAAUUACUUGUCGCAGAUUUAGUACAAAGGAAUUACUUGUCGCAGAUUUAGUACAAUUUUGUACUAAAUCUGCGACAAGUAAUUCCGGCCGGAGGGAGUAGUAG